rnacentral:lncRNA from 1 species
UAAUUUAGUAUCUGCAAUUGUUAUCAGAUAAACUUUCGAUAAAGCGCUGAAGCGUUUCCAGUAGUGCAUGCAUGGAUACGCAUUAUUAUGAUAUGAUGAGAAAGCGCGUGUUGGACAACCAGAUCAAAUAGACGCUGAGUUACGAUAGAACGAUAUUGGAUCUUAUUAUUGGCAAACUAAAGGGUGUUUUGUACGGUGAAUUGCAGCGUUCUAGAUUUUAAAAUAUAAUUUAUAAUCAAAUUGAAGUUAAUGGAGGUUUUUGCUCCUAAAGAAUUAGAUGAAUUAUAGUAACAUUAAAAGCACCGACUAAUUAAUCUAAAUGACGCAAAUGAUAGGAUAGUGCGCGUGUGACAACCAAUAUUGGCUUUGUCGAAUAAUUGUUACCCUAGUCACCAUCCAUUAGGCGAAGGCUUUGACCAAUGAUUGCGCUUUUUAAUACACGGGGCUCGUGCCCUUACUCCUUUUGCCUUAAAAAAAUAGUGUAUAUAAUAAUAUGUAUAUAAUAAAUUGGGCUGAAAUAUUAUUGAUAGUAUUUAGACUUUUUUACUAUCAAAUUUUUAAUUUUUGGAUGAAAAAUUAUAGAAUUAAAAUGAUAGUGGUCCCCCAAUGUUUAAUGGUGAUCCCCUUAGAGUUGAGCGAAUGGCUGGUUGAAUAGUAUGAUCUAAAUUAUGGAAUUAAUUAAAGUGUAAAUCUAACGACUAAAAAAUCGAUAGUAAAAGAGUUCAAAUAUUAUUAAGGGCUGUUUGGUUAGAUGUAAUUAUAAAUACAGUAUAGUUAGAGAUGCAUAUAGUUGGAAAUACAGCAGUUGCAACUAUAUAUAUCCUAUGUGGUUUGAUGUAGUAGAAAGCAUUGUAGAUUGUAUGCAGUUGAGAAAUGAAUUUUAAAAUUUUGUCGUUUUAUAUAUAUAUAAUGAUAAGAUUAUCUUCAAUAUAGAAAAGGAAAACAUUUUUUGUUUAAAAAGUAAUUAAGGAAGUAAGCUUGUCUUUUGCUUAAAAUUGCUCUCUUCAAUUACUGUAAUUAGAACAGCGGCCAAUUUGAGCAUAGCUCCAACUACUGCAGUCCGACCUUCUCCUGCAGUUUCUACUGCAGCAAUUGGAGUUAAAUACAUCGAAUCAAAUACCGAAUUUACAUUUACAUACAAUUGCAACUAUAGUAUAGUUAUAAUUAUGUACAACCAAACAGCCCCUUAGUAGUAUUCCAGCUCAACUCAUUUUAUACCCAUACAUGAAAGGAGAACCCAUGCCAUGUACGGCAGGUCACUCUGGUGGGGCCUACUUUUUUUUUUUGGGUUAAUUUCAUUUCUACCCUCGCAAUACUAUGAAAUGUCAUAAAUACCCUUCAAAUUUUUAAAUUUUCACAAAUACCCUCUAAAUACAAUAUUUCUUUCAUAAAUGCCCUUACCGUUACUAUUUUGCGGACUUCCGUUAACUCAACAUUUUUUUACUUUGCUUUAAAAUAUAAAAUUACCAUUUUACCCUUUGUUCACUAUUUCUUUAGAGGGACAAUUUCAUUCAUACCCUUAACAAGUUUAAGAUUAUAAUAAAUGUCCCUAACAAUU